rnacentral:rRNA from 1 species
UACGAAGGGGGCUAGCGUUGCUCGGAAUUACUGGGCGUAAAGCGCACGUAGGCGGAUCUUUAAGUCAGGGGUGAAAUCCUGGAGCUCAACUCCAGAACUGCCUUCGAUACUGGCGAUCUCGAGUUCGGGAGAGGUGAGUGGAACUGCGAGUGUAGAGGUGAAAUUCGUAGAUAUUCGCAAGAACACCAGUGGCGAAGGCGGCUCACUGGCCCGAUACUGACGCUGAAGUGCGAAAGCGUGGGGAGCAAACAGG